rnacentral:pre_miRNA from 1 species
AAAACCAUGAUGAGGAAAAAGAGUACAAACACACACAUUAUUGCUUCCAGAGGGAGAAAUGUGAUAAUGUGUGUGCUUGUACUUUUUUUCCUCAUCAUGGUUUU